AUGGUGAGAGGCCGUCCGCUGGGAGACCCAGCCCCAUUGUGCGCUUACCCGAUCCCAUCCGCCGCUGACCACCAGGGGGGGGGGAGCUUUCGCUUGAGCGCCUGCGUCCUAGAGCCGGAGCCCGCCGGAUCUCCUCGCCCCACCGUCGUCCCGCGUGCCACUGGGGAGCACGCCGGCGAGCGUCGUUGCCUUUCCGCCACCGGCCUAGGUGAUCCAUGGCUCGUGGACGGAUCAAGAGCGCCGCCUGGCAUAGGUAAUACAUCAUUUGCUCUUGGUCAGUUUGCUGAACACGUGCAGCCAGAAAUUCGAUCUCACUAUGAGAGUGUAGUUCCAUGCAUCUUAAAUGCAGUUGAAGACCCAUCAGAUGGGGUUAAGGAGAUAUCAUAUUAUGCAUUGGUGGUUUUCUGUGAAGACAUGAGUGAAGAUAUCCUACCAUAUCUGGAACCUUGGAUAUGCAGAUUACUUAUGUCUUUGCAGCAGAAUAAAUGUGAAGGCCAGCAAGAGCAGAUAGCAUCAAGUGGGAGCUCCUGUCCAUGGCCUUCUUCUUAUUGGCCGCGGCGCCGGCCAUGGAGCCGAUGCAGUGGAAGUAGUCGAAGUAGAGGCGGAUGGAGACGGGGACGGAUCGGGAGGGGUCUCGCAGAGAUGCUCCCUAAAACCUUAUCGCUGUCCUCCCGGGAAGGAUCUCGAACGACAGGAAUCCAAAGGCACCUGCGCUCCCGACCAACCGUGCAUGCGGUCGUCGGGAUGAAACCAUUGGAACAUGGCCCAGAAACCCCGCAGAACCGCGAGGGCCCAUUUGGUACACGGGUAUUCAUUGGCCCAACCCCCUCCGACCCCCUCCUACACCCUCCUUUCCACAUGGUACAGAACCCUCGAGGGGGGCCUCGUGGAUUUGGGAGGAACGACACCACGCCGCCGCCACCUGCUCACCACGCCGCCGCUCGAUUCCUCCACAACACGCCAUCGUGGAACGACAUCUCUACGCCAGCGUACCUCCUCCGCUGGCCUUCUCCUCGGUGGUAA
rnacentral:rRNA from 1 species